AUUGAACGCUGGCGGCAUGCCUUACACAUGCAAGUCGAACGAGUGGCGGACGGGUGAGUAAUGUCUGGGAAACUGCCCGGUGGAGGGGGAUAACUACUGGAAACGGUAGCUAAUACCGCAUACCAUCGGAUCGGCCCAGAUGGGAUUAGCUAGUAGGUGGGGUAAAGGCUCACCAAGGCCACGAUCCCUAGCUGGUUUGAGAGGAUGACCAGCCACACUGGGACUGAGACACGGUCCAGACUCCUACGGGAGGCAGCAGUGGGGAAUAUUGCACAAUGGGCGCAAGCCUGAUGCAGCCAUGCCGCGUGUAUGAAGAAGGCCUUCGGGUUGUAAAGUACUUUCAGCGGAGAAGCGUUACCCGCAGAAUAAGCACCGGCUAACUCCGUGCCAGCAGCCGCGGUAAUAC
rnacentral:rRNA from 1 species